AACGAACGCUGGCGGCAGGCCUAACACAUGCAAGUCGAGCGCCCCGCCAGGGGAGCGGCGGACGGGUGAGUAACGCGUGGGAAUAUGCCCUUUGCUACGGAAUAGUCUCGGGAAACUGGGGGUAAUACCGUAUACGCCCUUUGGGGGAAAGAUUUAUCGGCGAAGGAUUAGCCCGCGUUGGAUUAGGUAGUUGGUGGGGUAAUGGCCUACCAAGCCGACGAUCCAUAGCUGGUUUGAGAGGAUGAUCAGCCACACUGGGACUGAGACACGGCCCAGACUCCUACGGGAGGCAGCAGUGGGGAAUCUUAGACAAUGGGGGCAACCCUGAUCUAGCCAUGCAGCGUGAGUGAUGAAGGCCUUAGGGUUGUAAAGCUCUUUCAGCUGGGAAGAUAAUGACGGUACCAGCAGAAGAAGCCCCGGCUAACUCCGUG
rnacentral:rRNA from 1 species